UUAGGUAGCGGUAGAAAACAUAAACAAAUGCUAACUAAUUCUCAACGCUUGCUCAGCCGUUCAUCGCAAGUUUUUCUUCAAAUAAAGGAGGUGCCAUUGUGAAUCAAAAGGUUCCGUUUCCGUGUCUUUGGCGAGCAUUAUUCGCACCAACUGUCUCAAAUGCACCUCUCGCUCUAGAUUGCGCUAUCCCCUGUUUCUAUUCGUUGCUAGGGCGAUUUUUGCCUUGAAAUGAUCCAAGUAACCAUGUUCAGCAAACCAUAAAUGUUACGUCAUGGUACAAUGCCUGGAGAUAUGUGUAGUUGGAUGAAUCUAAUAAACGAAACAUGAAACGAUAUUAGAUAAAAUUUACAAAAAAAAAAAACAAUAAAACUAAACAAUUUAAGAACUUGGUUUUUAAAACACUAAAAUCAAAAAUGAAUAUGCCUUAAAAAACAUGUAUUUUUACAGUGUAUGUUUCACUUUCAUUCACACCUGUUUGGAAUUAUUGAAAAUUAUUUAGACUGAUCCUGACUCUCCCAUACUCUUUCAAAAUUGCGGAGGUCCAUGUGUUUGAUCUGAAGUUAGAUUCAAUUUUUCAGUGCCAGAGUCGGAGUGGACCAUUGGUUCCGGAUUUCCCAUCACAGUGUCGCCAUACUGGCCACUGUUAAAACUUUCUUCAGAUUAUCAACGUAAAUUACACGGCUUUCUAUACGUGCAUGUUUGCGUGCCAGCACUUAUGGCAAGCUAUGGAACAGUCAACAGCCAAGUGCUAGUCUACAGCAACGUGCAUAAUGUAUACGUCUACAAAGAUGGUUGCAGAUUCGGUGUGCAGAUUAUCAAAUCGUACGGCGGGGCUUCAUGCUUCGAAAUAAAUUCUAUAGCGAGGAGGGAGAACGAAUGAGAAAGAUUUGUGAUAUUGUAUCGUUACGUUUAAAUCGAAUCAACACGUUUUCUUCGCAUUUACUAUAUGAGUGUCAAAUGUAUUUUAUGGUUUGUCUUAAAUGCCUUGCAACCCGUUUGUAAUGAACAAAAAAUUAAAUACGUUUUUCGUUUGUA